rnacentral:rRNA from 1 species
AAAUGAAUUGACGGGGGCCCGCACAAGCGGUGGAGUAUGUGGUUUAAUUCGACGCAACGCGAAGAACCUUACCAGGGUUUGACAUCCACUGAAUACCUAAGAGAUUAGGUCGGCCCCUUCGGGGGACAGUGAGACAGGUGGUGCAUGGCUGUCGUCAGCUCGUGUCGUGAGAUGUUGGGUUAAGUCCCGCAACGAGCGCAACCCUUAUCCUGUGUUACCAGCGUGAAAGACGGGGACUCACAGGAGACUGCCGCCGACAAGGCGGAGGAAGGCGGGGAUGACGUCAAGUCAUCAUGCCCCUUAUGUCCUGGGCUACACACGUACUACAAUGGGUGCGAACAGAGGGCAGCAAUCCCGCGAGGGGGAGCCAAUCCCACAAAAGCACUCUCAGUUCGGAUCGCAGGCUGCAACCCGCCUGCGUGAAGUCGGAAUCGCUAGUAAUCGCAGAUCAGCAGGCUGCGGUGAAUACGUUCCCGGGCCUUGUACACACCGCCCGU